rnacentral:rRNA from 1 species
UACCGGUGGCGAAGGCGACUUUCUGGACUUUUUCUGACGCUGAGGUACGAAAGCGUGGGGAGCAAACAGGAUUAGAUACCCUGGUAGUCCACGCCGUAAAUGGUGAGUGCUAGGUGUCGGGAGUCAAAUCUCGGUGCCGACGUUAACACAUUAAGCACUCCGCCUGGGGAGUACGCACGCAAGUGU